AGUGAACGCUGGCGGUAGGCCUAACACAUGCAAGUCGAACGGCAGCACAGUAAGAGCUUGCUCUUACGGGUGGCGAGUGGCGGACGGGUGAGGAAUACAUCGGAAUCUACUUUUUCGUGGGGGAUAACGUAGGGAAACUUACGCUAAUACCGCAUACGACCUACGGGUGAAAGCAGUGGAUCUUCGGACCUUGCGCGAUUGAAUGAGCCGAUGUCGGAUUAGCUAGUUGGCGGGGUAAAGGCCCACCAAGUCGACGAUCCGUAGCUGGUCUGAGAGGAUGAUCAGCCACACUGGAACUGAGACACGGUCCAGACUCCUACGGGAGGCAGCAGUGGGGAAUAUUGGACAAUGGGCGCAAGCCUGAUCCAGCCAUACCGCGUGGGUGAAGAAGGCCUUCGGGUUGUAAAGCCCUUUUGUUGGGAAAGAAAAGCAGCAGGUUAAUACCCCGCUGUUCUGACGGUACCCAAAGAAUAAGCACCGGCUAACUUCGUG
rnacentral:rRNA from 1 species